UGCUUUUAAGUCCUUGAAAAGGGUCAUUUA
rnacentral:piRNA from 1 species